GACGAACGCUGGCGGCGUGCUUAACACAUGCAAGUCGAACGGAAAGGCCCUGCUUUUGUGGGGUGCUCGAGUGGCGAACGGGUGAGUAACACGUGAGUAACCUGCCCUUGACUUUGGGAUAACUUCAGGAAACUGGGGCUAAUACCGGAUAGGAGCUCCUGCUGCAUGGUGGGGGUUGGAAAGUUUCGGCGGUUGGGGAUGGACUCGCGGCUUAUCAGCUUGUUGGUGGGGUAGUGGCUUACCAAGGCUUUGACGGGUAGCCGGCCUGAGAGGGUGACCGGGCACAUUGGGACUGAGAUACGGCCCAGACUCCUACGGGAGGCAGCAGUGGGGAAUAUUGCAAAAUGGGCGGAAGCCUGAUGCAGCAACGCCGCGUGCGGGAUGACGGCAUUCGGGUUGUAAACCGCUUUCGCCUGUGACGAAGCGUGAGUGACGGUAAUGGGUAAAGAAGCACCGGCUAACUACGUG
rnacentral:rRNA from 1 species